rnacentral:rRNA from 1 species
UACGUAGGGUCCGAGCGUUGUCCGGAAUUAUUGGGCGUAAAGGGCGCGUAGGCGGCGCAACAAGUCACUUGUGAAAUCUCCGGGCUUAACCCGGAGCGGUCAAGUGAUACUGUCGUGCUAGAGUGCGGAAGGGGCUACUGGAAUUCUCGGUGUAGCGGUGAAAUGCGUAGAUAUCGAGAGGAACACCUGCGGCGAAGGCGGGUAGCUGGGCCGACACUGACGCUGAUGCGCGAAAGCCAGGGGAGCGAACGGG